rnacentral:rRNA from 1 species
UACAGAGGUCUCAAGCGUUGUUCGGAAUUACUGGGCAUAAAGGGUGCGUAGGCGGCUUGUUAAGUCAGGGGUGAAAUCCCACGGCCCAACCGUGGAACUGCCUUUGAUACUGGCGAGCUUGAGUGCGUGAGGGGUAACCGGAACGAGUAGUGUAGCGGUGAAAUGCGUAGAUAUUACUCGGAAGCCAAAGGCGAAGGCAGGUUACUGGUACGCAACUGACGCUGAGGCACGAAAGCGUGGGGAGCAAACAGG